rnacentral:rRNA from 1 species
AUGCGCGCUGCCUCGCCGUCGCCCGCGACAUCAGCUCGACCAACGGCGAGAUCGAGGACGCGCAGUAGAAGGCAGAGAAGUGGGACCGCUUCUACGAGUCCAAGAGGAAGGAGAUGGAGGAGCUCCGGCCGUCAUCUCCACAGCCUCCAUCCACCCCGGCCGCAGCCACUUCUCAACCCCACGAGAAGCCUCCUGGCGUAG